rnacentral:lncRNA from 1 species
CCUGGUCAUGAGAUACAUGUACAUGUAUAAGCUCUGAAAUGGGUGGGUGAUUCAGUAGUUAAUUUCAAUGUGUAAAUUUCUUUUAAAAUAUGAGAUAUGAAUUUAGAGGAUGCAUGGCUAUCUAUUUUUUUUGUGUAUGGGAAAGAGGAGCCUGUGCCUGUAAUCGCUUUCCUUUUGUAUUUUAUGUUUAUGAAAGAUUUAAUUUUUAUGAAUUUUACAUUUUGGUGUACAUAUGUACAUGACAUAUAUAUA